AUGAGCAGAAGCGCUCCAUGUCGGUUUGUGGGCGAGGAAGGCGCGGGCGCCAUUUUGCCGGGGGCCGUCGCCCGACGUGGGACCGGCGGCCGCCCAGAGGAAGGCUCCCUCCCAGGCCCGCCGGCGUGUCGGACGCGGGAGCAGCGGUUAUUGCUGUGGUUUGAGCUCAGCAUGGCUGUAGUCAUCCGUUUACAGGGGCUUCCUGUUGUUGCGGGGCCCGUGGAUAUUCGCCACUUCUUCUCGGGAUUGAAUAUUCCUGAUGGAGGAGUGCAUAUAAUUGGAGGAGAAAUUGGGGAGGCUUUUAUUAUUUUUGCGACAGACGAAGAUGCCCGACGCGCUAUGAGCUGUUCGGGAGGGUUUAUCAAGGACUCGCUCAUAGAGCUGUUUCUUAGCAGCAAGACCGAGAUGCAGAAUACCAUAGAGAUGAGCCGGAAGAGAUUUGACCGCGGUGGAAGAGACCUAGCUGGCUGUAAACGACCGGGAGCCGGUGCUUCGGGGGCAGCGGGGCUUAGCAGCCUGUCUAAUUUAGUCGAGGCUAUUAAGAAAGGAAUGAGCAAAGCCGGGGCAGAUCAUCCCGAGGCUGGUUUUCAUACCAACGGGACGAGACACGGUGACUCGGGGGCGAGAAAAGAAGCCCGGACGUUCCAGUCGGACGACCGUUACCUGUUCUUACACGGUAUGCCUUACUCGGUGACGGAAGGCGAGGUCCACGCUUUCUUUUCUGGAUUACGCGUGGACGGAGUGAUUCUGCUCAAGCAUCACAACGGCCGGAAUAACGGCGACGGCUUCGUAAAAUUUGCCACGUCCCACGACGCGCUAGGGGGCCUGCAACGCCACAGGCACUACAUGGGCCCGAGGUUUGUGGAGAUCAGCCCCGCUUCCCAGCAGCAGUGGGUCGAGUGCGGCGGCGGCCCGGACCUAGAGAUGGAGGUGGGUCGCAUCAGGAGCAAGGAGCGUUCCCCGCCGAGGGGCAUGAACGAUCUACGCUUAAAAAAGCGCUCCCGCUCCAGAUCUCCGAGGAGAUUGAGAACGCGCUCCCGUUCCCCCCGUGGCCACGGAUUUUACGUGCAUCUGAAGAACCUCUCCCUGAGUACGGAGAAGAAAGACAUAAAGGCUUUCUUCCGGAAUAUCGACCUGACCAGCAAUCAGAUCAAGUUUCUGUACAAGGAUCAGAAGAGGACCAGGUCGGCCUUCGUGAUGUUCAAGACUCCGAGAGACUACAACGAGGCCCUGUGCUUGCACAAGGCCGUCUUGCGCCAGCGCCCGGUUCACAUCGAUCCCAUUUCGAAAAAGACCAUGUUGAAAUUCAUCGACGCCUAUGAGGGGAGAGGGUUGGGAGCCGCGGACAGAGAGAGGCCUCCGCAGGCGGUGCCCGACAGAAGCUAUCGGGAAGGGUACCCCGGCCCCAGGUUAUGCAUAUACAUAAGAAACUUCCCCUUCGACGUCACGAAGAUCGAAGUGCAGAAGUUCUUCGCGGGGUUCUCGGUCGAAGAGGAGGACGUCUACCUGCUGUAUGACGAUAAGGGAGUCGGCCUCGGAGAGGCCCUGGUGCGAUUCAGAUCCGAAGGACAGGCUUUGGAAGCCGAAACUCUGAACCGCAAAAGGUUCCUGGGGACCGAGGUGCUGUUGAGGCUCAUCUCUGAGAAGCAGAUGCGGGAGUUCGGGGUGAACGUGCCGUUGACCCCCAGCGAGGAGAUGCAGGAGCACUCCCAGGCCUACGGGCGAGACGGGCGUCUCCGUUCGGUCGACGGCCAGGGACCGCCGACGUCCCCGUUCGGCCCGCCGGGAAGCUUCAGGCGCCCUCCGGACGAUUUCGGGCCCCCGGACGGUUUCAGACCCCCUCCCGAGGAGUUCCUCUGCCCGCCCGAGGAAUUCCGAGGCCCUCGCCCUUUUAUGAGUUUCGGUCGCGAGGGGGAGCCUUUUGGAAGGUUCGAGUUCGGGAAGACUCACCCGGGCGGUUUUCCGGAAGGAAGAUUUCUGCCGGAUCCAAACUUCAGUGGGGGUCCGGGGCGAAUAACGCCUAUUAAAAUUAGGAAUCUUCCAUUUAAAGCUACCGUCAAUGAAAUCUUGGACUUCUUCCACGGGUAUAGAGUCAUCCCGGAAUCGGUUUCCAUACAGUUGAACGAGCAGGGCCUGCCUUCGGGCGAUGCCAUCGUUGCCAUGACGGACUACGAUGAGGCCGUGGCGGCUGUCGAUGAGCUGAAUGACAGACCGGUCGGCCCGCGGAAAGUCAAGCUGAUCUUGCUGUAGAGGCUGCUUCUGAGGAGGGAAAACUAACGCCUUCCCCCUCUCCCCCCCCCCCCCCAAACCCCACAGUAUUGGUGCACUAAGAUGCAUUCGUGUAAAAAGGAGAGGGGGGUGGGUUAGGGGAGGUUGUUUAUUUUCCUUUACCGAAAAGGAAGGAUAAUUUUUGUGGUUUUUUUUAAAUUUUGACUCACUUCCUUGGACGGGAUCGACUGUAAAUAGUGGAAUGUUUAGAUUUUGUUUUCACUGAGAGGAUUUUUUUUGGUGCACUGUCAUCCCCCCCCUUCUUUUUUUUAAGGAACCGUCUUCAGUUUUUAAUCUUUCGACAGUGGGAUACAGCACCGGUAUCCUAGUGGAGUGUUCACUGGUGUUUGUCGAUGCCAUAGGUAUCACCUCAAGAUACGAAACAGAGUUGUACUGUUCGGAGGGGAAAGGGAGAUUUUAAAUUUACCUUUGGUUCCAUUCCCUGGCCUACAACGUCUUGUUCGCGAUCAUUCAGCAUCUACUCUGGGCAAAGCACUAUUCUAGGCGCUGGGAGAAGCGUCGCGGAUGAGCUCCACGCUCCGUCCCUGGCCCCUAAUGGGCUCACCGUCUCAGAAUUUGGGUGAGGGUGGCCGGUGAGGGGAAUAUAAAUCAUAAAACCGGAACGGCAUAAAAGAAGGGCCUUUUCUAGAUGCCGAAAUCCAACAGCUCGACAGUGAUCGUAAUUCUAAAGAGAAAAACCCUACCCAGGAUAUCUCUCUUCAGAAUUUUGAUCCGUCUGUAGUUGUGAGCUUUCUCAACCUCCUGUGGUUGCCGGAUCAUUUUUUCUGCAGUACUGUAAGACGUGGUUUUAAUCAUACCUGAACUUCUGGUGGGUUAAAAUCCUGUCUUCUGAAAUAGUAGUCACCCCUAAAUUUGAAUAAUCUUUUCUGCGUAGAGGGAGAAUGGGAGCGUAAAGCAGAAGAAAAUACAGGAAGAUGCUCUUUGAAAUAAGAAUUCUGGCAUUUGGUAAGCGCUUAUUAUGUGCCAGGCACUGUUCUAAGCGCUGGGGUGGGUGCAGGCAAUUUGGG